AACAGUAAAAGUUAAAACAGCAACUACAAAGUUAAAAUUACAAUAUCAAUAAAUGAAGUUCAAAAUAUAUAGAAUAUGUACAUAUGUGUAACAGGUUCACAGGUCUGGCACAUCAAAAUCUAAAUUUAAAAUCAUAAAAGCACUUAUCUAAAAGAAACUGACUACUGGCUUUCCUAAAUUUAACACUAUUAUUAAUGGAUUUUAUUUCUGGUGGUAAUAACCCAUAUGCUUUAACUGCCAUAUAAUAAGGACCCCUUUCAAAAAACGCUGAACCAUGGGCUGGUGCCCGAAGAUCUUCCCUCCCCCUUGUGAUUACUGCAAUAUCAGUGCCAUAAUGGUCACUGUUUACUGAAAAAAGGUGUGGGUGCCUUUUGACAAACAUCACUAAGGACAUAAAGUAGAUUGAAGGCACAGUCAUUAUGUUCAGUGAUUCAAAAUGUGGUUUGCAUGAUGUUCCAGGGCGCAACCCCAGCAUAGCUCUGAUGAUCCUUUUCUGAACUACAAAAAUUUGAGGAGCCACAGAGGAUGAUCCCCAAAACAUCACACUAUAGGCAAUCAAUGACUGCACCCCUGCAAAAUAAAACUGUCUUAUGAAAUUUACUGUCAAUGAAUAUUUUAGUCUUCGCACUAACGCACAAAAGAUAUUUAGUUUAGAUUGGAGCACCCUCACAUGUUCCUCCCAGCCAAGAGCAGUGUCCAAGGUGACCCCUAAAAAUUUAACUGUGUUUUCCACAGGCACUGAUUUGCCUCGCAUUUUCAAAUAAACAGACUCUGUUAAUUUGGGAUUUUUCUGAAAUAGCAUUAGACCAGUCUUUUCGCAGUUCAGAAUUAACCCUGCCUCAUCACACCAAUCCUGCAUUGUCCCCGCUGCACAUCUCUAGCCAGGCUCCCAAAAUCCUGCCCCAUCACGACAGCCGAUGUAUCAUCAGCAUACUGGCAGAGGAGUCCCGCAGCCACCUCAUCUGAAAGUGAAUUCACAUACAAUAGAAACAGCACAGGACCGAGAAUCGAGCCCUGAGAUAAGACCCCAGUAAAACACCAGACAAUCCUCUCAAACCAUAGUGUUCCAGUCUAUGCAACAACAUCCUAUGAUCAAUGGUAUCAAAGGCCUUAGAAAGAUCAAAAAAAAGCCCAGCCACCCUCCUGUAUUUCUGAAGUGGAUAGUUAAAUUAUGGUACUAUUGUUUUUUAUCAUUCCUUUUACCACCAUUUUUGUAAAUCGGAAUGAUAUAUGAUAAUUUCCAGUCCUCUGGAAAUGUUGCUGAAGACAAAGACUUAUUAAACAGAAUCCACAAAGGUCUUGACAAGGCAAACGAGCAAUUUCUGACAAAGGAAUAAUAUCAUCAGGACCUGGUUCUUUAUAAAUGUCGAUAGACAUUUGUUUCCUUUGAAAAUUAAAACUGUACUGCUUA